rnacentral:rRNA from 1 species
AGGUCUCGUAGGUGACCUGCGGAGGGAUCAUUACACAAUAAAAUACGAAGGCCGUUCGCGGCUGGACUAUUUAUUACCCUUGUCUUUUGCGCACUUGUUGUUUCCUGGGCGGGUUCGCUCGCCACCAGGACCACAAUAUAAACCUUUUUUAUGCAGUUGCAAUCAGCGUCAGUAUAACAAAUGUAAAUCAUUUACAACUUUCAACAACGGAUCUCUUGGUUCUGGCAUCGAUGAAGAACGCAGCGAAAUGCGAUACGUAGUGUGAAUUGCAGAAUUCAGUGAAUCAUCGAAUCUUUGAACGCACAUUGCGCCCUUUGGUAUUCCAAAGGGCAUGCCUGUUCGAGCGUCAUUUGUACCCUCAAGCUUUGCUUGGUGUUGGGCGUUUUUGUCUUUGGCCCGCCAAAGACUCGCCUUAAAAUGAUUGGCAGCCGGCCUACUGGUUUCGCAGCGCAGCACAUUUUUGCGCUUGCAAUCAGCAAAAGAGGACGGCAAUCCAUCAAGACUCCUUCUCACGUUUGACCUCGGAUCAGGUAGGGAUACCCGCUGAACUUAAGCAUAUCAAUAAGCGGAGGA